rnacentral:lncRNA from 1 species
AAAGGAGCGAUCCUGAAACACCCUCCAGACGCCACUACGUGCAAAGCUCAUUGUGCUUCAAUAAAGGCCCCAGCAGCAUCCAUCAGGAGAUCUCCAAACAGCCUCAGGGCAGAGCUGGAGGUCAUUAGUGUCACCCAGCUCAUCCCAUGUCCCUUUUGGGAGGCUGAUCUCCAAGCAAAGGUCUUCAUGACUGCUGCAGAACAUGGAUUCAC